GAUGAACGCUGGCGGCGUGCCUAAUACAUGCAAGUCGAGCGAACAGACGAGGAGCUUGCUCCUCUGACGUUAGCGGCGGACGGGUGAGUAACACGUGGAUAACCUACCUAUAAGACUUGGAUAACUUCGGGAAACCGGAUCUAAUACCGGAUAAUAUAUUGAACCGCAUGGUUCAAUAGUGAAAGACGGUUUUGCUGUCACUUAUAGAUGGAUCCUCGCCGCAUUAGCUAGUUGGUAAGGUAACGGCUUACCAAGGCAACGAUGCGUAGCCGACCUGAGAGGGUGAUCGGCCAAACUGGAACUGGGACACGGUCCAGACUCCUACGGGAGGCAGCAGUAGGGAAUCUUCCGCAAAGGGCGAAAGCCUGACGGAGCAACGCCGCGUGAGUGAUGAAGGUCUUCGGAUCGUAAAACUCUGUUAUUAGGGAAGAACAAAUGUGUAAGUAACUAUGCACGUCUUGACGGUACCUAAUCAGAAAGCCACGGCUAACUACGUG
rnacentral:rRNA from 1 species